UGCUGUCCGCCUCCCGGGCAGACGGCAGCGACGCGGCGGGUCGCGAUGGCGGCCGGGCUGGGGCCGUGGCUGCUGGCCUUGGCCUUGGGGCCGGCAGGAGUGUGUGCACAGUUGAGACUGGAAACGUCUGGUGGAGGUGUGCGAGCGCCUGGGGAUUCUGUGCAGUUCUCCUGCCGUGGAUAUGGCUUCAGCUUUGGAAGUUAUGCUGUACUGUGGUACCGUCAGGCACUUGGUGGCCGUCUCGAGUGGCUGUCCUACAUCGCCAGCUCGAAUAGUAGGUACAGCCCAGAUGUGGAGGGUAGAGCCACCGUUUCUCGAGAUGAUUCCCGAUCUGUGUCCUACCUGUCUCUACGUGCCCUACGCCCACACGAUUCAGCGCAAUACUUGUGUGCUGUUCUCACGGCAACAGGAAAUCCUACAGAGCUGUAACAAAAAUCCCCUUCUUGGGCACAGCCACAGCUGCAGAACUACAGGUCAGGCUGGAGUUGGAGCAGCUCUGGGCUGCUCCUGGAUAGUGAGGGGGUGUCACAGAUUAUCCUGUCUUUUCUGCAAGGUCUCCUUUUACGUCAUUACUUCUUUCAUUCUCCUGAGUCACAAAAGGAGAUGGAUGCUGUUGGAGUGGCCCUGGCUGAGCCCUGAGCAGCGGGAGUGCUGCACGCCCUGGAGAGUGAUUUUGGCAGUAACAAAACCAUCUGCAGCUCGAGAUGGGAUUCGGAAAGCAAAGGCACAGAUGGAAUUGAACUUGGCAAGAAUGCUAAAAACUAAAAGAAGGGAUUGUCCUGAUGCCAGGUCAGAAGAGGUGGGCCAAAUAUCUUCCCUACUAAGUGAGAAUGGAGAACAGGCUAGAACAUAUAUGGAGAAGGCUGAGGUACUCAAUGAGUUCUUUGCCUCAGUCUUCACUGGCAGCCAGAUUUUCUCCCAUCCCUGAACCUCAUAUCCCUGCACCUGAUCAUGCAGGUGGGAUUGGGGUAGCAAAGUGCCCCACAGAGUAAGGGCAGAGCAAGUCCAAUACCUCCUCAUGAGACUGAACGUGUACAAGUCCGGGGGGCUGGCUGACUUAUGUGCCAGUGUCCUAAGGGAGCAGGGUGAGGUAGUUGCCAAGUCACUCUCCAUCAUAUUACAAAAGUUGUGGCUGUCAGGCAAAGUCUGUUGGGAAUGGAAAAACGACAAUGACAACAGCAACAACAAAAAGGAAGCAUCACUCCCGUUUAUAAGGAAGGGUGGACUGUGAGAACUCCAGGCUGGUGAGCUUCACCUCAGUUCCAGGGGUAACCAUGGAACAGAUCCUCCUGGAAGGUAUGUUAAGGCACAUGAGGGAUGAAGAGGUGAUCCAGGACAGCCAGGGUGGCUUCCGCAAGGGAGGGACAUGCCUGAUCAACGUGGUGUUCUUCUCUGAUGGAGUGACGGCAUCAGUGGACAAAGGGAAGGCAAUUGAAGUCAUCUAUCUGGACUUCUGCAAGGCCUUUGACGUGGUCCCCCACCACAUCCUUAU